AUCUGAAUAACUAAAUAAUAUAUUUUGUUAGGAAUUGUUAUGUUGCUGUUAUUUUUGUUAGUGUUGUGGAUGUUUGUAAAACGUGGACUGAUCCACGUUAUACAAAAUAUAGUGUAUAACGUGGAUCAAUCCACAUUUUACAAGUUGAAACAUUGUGGAACUGGAUAUUGCCAAUAAUAGACCGAUGAUGACAUUUUCGGUACAGGAAAAAAGAAUUGUGAAAUGUGUCAAAGAAUCGAAUUUUUUCCUCUCUUUUUGUGAAUGUUGCUUUGUUUGAUGUAUUUAUGCAUUACCAUAGUAAUUUAUGACUGCAGAACCUGUAAUUUCUUCAAUAUAUUUUGUUAUGGAUUUUUAUACAAUAUAUUUUGUUAUGGAUUGUUAUACAAUAUAUUUUUUUAAUAGUGAGUUACUCCAAAUAACUUGAUCUGGAUUUCAUUUUUUUUUUUGUAUAAGGUAUGGAGUUUCCACGGGUAUGCGUACAUCCGGGGCCAGAAGUGUACGAUGUGUUAACACUCCAGGAGAAGCAUCGAUCAGAGGCUGUGUGGGAUGGUUCCUUGAGAGGACCGACCGGAUGCCUGUUUCCUCGCCGCGCGGAUACUGAAUUUUGGAAGCAUGUGAGGCGUCAUCCUUUUCAUCCUCGCAUCCUUGACUACUUUGGCCUGUGUGGAUUUAGGGGAGUAAUAUAGGUAGGAUGUGUAUCAUAUGAUUGGGCAGUCAUCACUGCACUUAUAGAGAGAUGGCGUCCUGAGACGCACACCUUUCAUCUGCGUACAGGUGAGGCGACCAUCACAUUACAAGAUAUCGAGGUCAUGUUUGGCUUGGUUGUUGAUGGUUAUCCCUUGAAUAAUCUUAAUGCUAGAUAUAUCGAUAUUGGUGGGUGGCAACAAUUGAUCCAUGAGCUUACUGGUUGGGCACCCGGUCUGGAUUGUUUUAAUGGUGUUAGUAGGUUAGAAGUACAUAAAUUAAUUGAAUAUAUUAGAGGCUUAGAUGAUAUUACAGAUCAGACCCCAGAAAUUGAUGUGCAGCAGCGGGUUAGGUUGUACUUGCUAUGGCUUUGUGGCGGCACGAUAUUUCCGGAUAAGUCCGGUGACUUACUGAAUUUAGAUUAUUUGCUUGACAUGCGUGACCUUAGAGCAAUGAAUGAACAAGCUUGGGGAGCGGCUGCAUUGUCAUAUUUGUAUACUUGUUUAUGACGUGCUUCGUUGAGGAAAGCGAAGGAUGUGUGUGGAUUCAUUUCCUUAUUGCAGGUUUGGGCUUGGGAGCGCAUUAUACCGAUGCAGCCACCAUGCAGGGCUCUUCCGCCACACACGGCUCUUGCACGAAGGUGGACUCAUCGUAAAUCCCACGAAAAUGAGGCACGUGAUGUUUUACCCAUAUGUAGGGAUGUAUUGGACAACCUAAUAGAUGGCCAGUUUGUGUGGCAGCCUUAUUCAGAGGCCAUCAUCAACAGACUCCCUGAGUGGUGUCUGCGUGGCCGAGAUAUUUGGAUGGCGAAAGUUCCCCUUAUUUGUGGGAUCUAUCGAGAGUGGCACAUGUUAGACCGCGUUUUCAGACAGUUUGGUAGGAAGCAACAUAUUCCGGGUCCAUAUGCAGAGAUUGAUCCUUUUCAUUACAAACGUGACAAGCGGUAUGCUAUAAAAGUGGAGGAUCAAGAAUAUUUUACAGAAACAGACUUUUUGUGGGGAAAUCGUCGAGAUAGUUUAAUUCGGGCCGAGUAUGAAACUCAAGAUCCACAGUCACUAUCAGAGUAUUUUUGUUGGUAUCGACGUCGCUUGCGCACUUUCAUAGGAAAUCCUGCGCAUAAAGUGGAUAGAGGAUACCUGUUGA